UACGGAGGGAGCUAGCGUUGUUCGGAAUUACUGGGCGUAAAGCGCGCGUAGGCGGCUUUGUAAGUUAGAGGUGAAAGCCCGGGGCUCAACCCCGGAACUGCCUUUAAAACUGCAUCGCUUGAAUCCGGGGGAGGUGGGUGGAAUUCCGAGUGUAGAGGUGAAAUUCGUAGAUAUUCGGAAGAACACCAGUGGCGAAGGCGGCUCACUGGACCGGCAUUGACGCUGAGGUGCGAAAGCGUGGGGAGCAAACAGG
rnacentral:rRNA from 1 species